rnacentral:rRNA from 1 species
GAUGAACGCUAGCGGCAGGCUUAAUACAUGCAAGUCGAGGGGCAGCAGGACUGUAGCAAUACAGUUGCUGGCGACCGGCAAACGGGUGCGGAACACGUACGCAACUUACCCAAAACUGGGGAAUAGCCCGGGGAAACCCGGAUUAAUACCUCGGACCAUAAUUGAAUGGCAUCAUUUAAUUACUAUAACUCAGGCGGUCUUGGAUGGGCGUGCGACUGCUUAGGUAGUUGGCGGGGUAACGGCCCACCAAGCCUACGAUCAGUAACUGGUGUGGGAGCACGACCAGUCACACGGGCACUGAGACACGGGCCCGACUCCUACGGGAGGCAGCAGUAAGGAAUAUUGGUCAAUGGACGCAAGUCUGAACCAGCCAUGCCGCGUGAAGGAUGAAGGUCCUCUGGAUUGUAAACUUCUUUUAUAUGGGAAGAAAUCCAUCUUUUCUUGGGUGGUUGACGGUACCAUAGGAAUAAGCACCGGCUAACUCCGUGCCAGCCGCCGCAGUAAUAC